GUUAAAAAUGUAGUUCCAAUAGUAAAACUGGAACAUUACCAAAAUAUCAGCACAGCCACUGUGUAAGAAUGAUACACAAAUUUGUGAAGCAUUACAUAUUUUU
rfam:Tupaia chinensis contig205666, whole genome shotgun sequence.